rnacentral:miRNA from 1 species
AUGUUGACAGAAGAUAGAGAGCACAGAUGAUGAAAAUGCAUAUCCACCGUGCAUCUCAAUCCUUUGUGCUCUCUAUACUUCUGUCAUCA